rnacentral:snoRNA from 1 species
AACCUAUGGUGAGGGCAACUUCUCAAUAAAUCAUUAUACCUCUCCCAUGCAUCGUAUUGGGUUUCUAAGUCCAUUUGUAUAAAGGAAGAGAUAUCAUUCCUCAACUU